rnacentral:rRNA from 1 species
UACGGAGGGGGCUAGCGUUGUUCGGAAUUACUGGGCGUAAAGCGCGCGUAGGCGGAUCUGCAAGUCGGGGGUGAAAUCCCGAGGCUCAACCUCGGAACUGCCUUCGAUACUGCGGGUCCCGAGUCCGGGAGAGGUGAGUGGAAUUCCUAGUGUAGAGGUGAAAUUCGUAGAUAUUAGGAAGAACACCAGUGGCGAAGGCGGCUCACUGGCCCGAUACUGACGCUGAGGUGCGAAAGCGUGGGGAGCAAACAGG